UGCAACAUACCCAGAAGUUCUACCUUAGAAACCAGCUAACACCAUAACAUUGAUUCCUAGACAGCACUUCCAAGUAGCCACAUGCAUGAUCCCCCAAAAUAUGAGAGCUUUUCUUCCCAUUUCGCAAUAGAGGAGCUUUAAUGAAGACCGAUCUUUGAUUUUUCCUAGUUGCAUGCCAGACAACUUCUUGCAUUCUCAGAUCUGGUCUUUAACAUGCUCUUUACAGCACUCACUUUAUCCAGUUAGCUUUCAUUCUCCCUUCUUUAUUACAGCUUAAAAAGUGUUUAAAAAGGGGUGGGGGCACUUCCCAUUCUUACUUACUUUAUGAAAAGCCUGACAAAGUCUUAAGUAGCUUCUGGACACUGAUUUGGGUGCAGUAGGGAACAGGUUUUGCCUUUUCUCUUCCUUUCCUGUCUCCAGAAUACCUUUUACAGAAUAGAAGGGAAAUUUUUCUUUGCUUUCUAAGUAUUUUAUUUCUUCCCAUCUCUGUAAAUGAGCCCUUUCUUUCCAGGUGUCCAAUGGAGACUUUCCCUGGUAAUGUGGAGAAAUAAGAGUGUGGUCUUUGUGUGCCUCAAGUGUAGGCAGAAUAACCAGAAGCAGGAUUCCCUCCAUUGCUAUUCGCAUCCAUAUGUUCCUGAGAAGCAGCUACAUUGGAAGAGACUAGCAGCAGUCGCUGGACUCUCCAGUUUCAUUGUGUCCUGCCUGGUUUUCAGCUGUUAAAGGUAAAAUUUGCUCAUAUGCCAAAGAAACAGCUCCAAAUGAACUUUCUUUGAGAGCCUCCAGGCACUCACUGCCACCACAGCAGCAACAGCCUUGUGCUGGAAGGGCAGAGCUGGGCAGCAGGCAGCGAGC